GAUGAACGCUGGCGGCGUGCUUAACACAUGCAAGUCGAACGGGGUUUAAGAAGGAAGCUUGCUUUCAUUUUAAACCUAGUGGCGGACGGGUGAGUAACGCGUGAGGAACCUGCCCUUCAGUGGGGAACAACAACUAGAAAUGGUUGCUAAUACCGCAUAAUGUCGGAGAGCCGCAUGACUUUCUGACCAAAGGAUUUAUUCGCUGAAGGAUGGCCUCGCGUCCGAUUAGAUAGUUGGUGAGGUAACGGCCCACCAAGUCUACGAUCGGUAGCCGAAUUGAGAGGUUGAUCGGCCACAUUGGGACUGAGACACGGCCCAGACUCCUACGGGAGGCAGCAGUGGGGAAUAUUGGGCUAAUGGGCGAAAGCCUGACCCAGCAACGCCGCGUGAAGGAUGACGGUCUUCGGAUUGUAAACUUCUUUAAUUGGGGAAGAACAAAAUGAC
rnacentral:rRNA from 1 species